GGGUGGCCGGCUCCUUUUCACUGGGGACGGGCAGGUUUUCACGCUGGUCGGGCCGCCAGCG
rnacentral:ncRNA from 2 species